rnacentral:misc_RNA from 1 species
UUGAAAUAAACCUGAUGGGUUGUUGCUGGUUCUCUAGGGAGCAAUGUGCACACCUUGUCAUCUUUAUAUCUCCACCUGUGCACCUUUUGUAGACCUUUCAGGUCUAUGUUGCUUCAUUUACCCCAAUGUAUGUUAAUAGAAUGUUGUGCCUAAUAUAAUAUAUA